rnacentral:rRNA from 1 species
GACGAACGCUGGCGGCGUGCUUAACACAUGCAAGUCGAACGGAAAGGCCCUGCUUUUGUGGGGUGCUCGAGUGGCGAACGGGUGAGUAACACGUGAGUAACCUGCCCUUGACUUUGGGAUAACUUCAGGAAACUGGGGCUAUUCCGGGAUAGGGGUUCUUGUUGCUUGGUGGGGGUUGGAAGGUUUGGGGGGUUGGGGAUGGGCUGGCGGCUUUUCGGUUGGUUGGUGGGGUAGUGGCUUACCAAGGCUUUGACGGGUAGCCGGCCUGAGAGGGUGACCGGCCACAUUGGGACUGAGAUACGGCCCAGACUCCUACGGGAGGCAGCAGUGGGGAAUAUUGCACAAUGGGCGGAAGCCUGAUGCAGCAACGCCGCGUGCGGGAUGACGGCCUUCGGGUUGUAAACCGCUUUCGCCUGUGACGAAGCGUGAGUGACGGUAAUGGGUAAAGAAGCACCGGCUAACUACGUG